rnacentral:lncRNA from 1 species
AGCAGCUGCCACAGUAGCAAACACCAGCAUAGAAAUGGCAACUUACCACAUUCGGAAGACGCCGGGAACACUGAAUUGCUUAGGACCCUUGCAUGGAACCCUCCUAGAACACACCAAGAGCUGAAAUCUUGCAUGAUAAGAUGUGUAGAAGUCGAGGAAAGCAGAAGGGUUGCUAAUGCAUGGUCCGACCGUCGGACGUCUUCCGGAUGAGCGUCAACCAAAUGUGGUUCAAGCGGAAGAAAUCAAUUGCUGCCUCAAAGAGCUAUUCUUUACCAUUUAAAUCAUGCAUGCUCGUUUGUAGAAACUGUCAUUAAGAUUUUAUGUAUCUCCUUGUACUAGGAAAAUUACCUUUCAACCAUGAUUGUUUCAGGGGGCCUCAAGUAGGCAAGCAAAC